rnacentral:rRNA from 1 species
UAUUNNAUNUNGNUCGGAGACGCUGGCGGCGUGCCUACCAUGCAAGUCGAGCGAUUUACUUCGGUAAAGAGCGGCGGACGGGUGAGUAACGCGUGGGUAACCUGCCUCAUACACAUGGAUAACAUACCGAAAGGUAUGCUAAUACAGGAUAAUAUAAGAGAUUUACAUGGAUUUCUUAUCAAAGCUCCGGCGGUAUGAGAUGGACCCGCGUCUCAUUAGCUAGUUGGUAAGGUAAUGGCUUACAAGGCGACGAUCAGUAGCCGACUGAGAGGGUGAUCGGCCACAUUGGAACUGAGACACGGUCCCACUCCUACGGGAGGCAGCGUGGGGAAAAUCGCCCCAUCGCCCAAAGCUGAUGCACCCACGCCGCGUGGUGAUGAAGGCCCUCCGGUCCUAAAACUCCGUCCUCCAGGAAGAAAUGACCGUUCUUGAGGAGGAAGCCCCGGCUAACUACCCGCCAGCGCCCCGGUAAUACCUAGGGGGCUAGCGUUAUUCGGAUUUACCGCGCGUCAAGGGUGCGUAGUGGGUUUUUUAGUCAGGAGUGAAAGGCUACUGGUCCACCGUCCUAAGCCCUUGAAACUGGAAAACUUGAAUGCAGGAGAAGAAAGCGGAAUUUCCUACUGCUAGCGGCAAAUGCGUAAUAUUAGGAGGAAAUACCCCUUGCCAAAGGCGGCUUCUCUUGGACUGCAACUGAACACUGAGGGACCAAAGCGUGGGGGAGGCAAACACGAUUAUUAUACCCCUGGCAGUCCACGCCCGCAAACCAAGGAGUACUACCCGUCGGGGGGUCACCCCCCCCUCGGCGGGGGCACCUUAACGCAUUAAACUACUCUCCCUGGGAAGUACCGCUCCGCCACAAAUGAAACUUUCANCUAAUUUAACGGGGGACCGCUCACACGUGGCGCGAAUCUUGUGGGUUUUAUUCCGAAGCCAACCCCGACAGAACCU